GGAGGAGGAAGUCGAUGAUUGCUAAGCGUCGCCGAGUUGGGAGCGUCUUCAGCCCUAAGGCAGCAUCAGAGAUCAUAAUCUUCUGCUCUCGUGGCAAGAAAUUUGUGCGGAUAGAGUUGAUACACCUCACUUGAAGUUGGCCUGGAGAAAAGAGGCGUGGGACUCCUGGACGGGGUUGGGAAACGGUCACCAGUUUCGGCUCAAAGCAGCCUGUUUCCAGGAGACCGCCAUGGUCGAGGCAGCGUCCUGGUCCCACGGUGCGGGGCCGGACGAUCAUUUAUGGGAUAUAAAUAAAAGGACUAUGAGGUGGUAAAUAAAAGACUACCAACUAGAAGCCAUAGGGAGUCAUUUGAAGGAGAAAUAGGCACGGCUCAUCUGUGGUUGAGGGAAAGGGAUCUUGAAAGAUGAUUAGGAGAACUUGGGUUCUGGGGAAAGUGCGGGAAGACAUUCUGGCAGAGAAGCAAACGUGAAGAAAGGAAAGGGUGGCAACUAAAGAUUCCCGAGA
rnacentral:lncRNA from 1 species